rnacentral:lncRNA from 1 species
GAACAUAGGAAGAUCUCGUACCUGGUUGACGAAAGGAGAAGAAAAGGAGGAGGAUGAAGAAGACAUCUUGGUAAAUAGCCUGAUGGAAUAAACUACCAGAGAGGAAAAGGAUGAGCAAGGCGAAUGCCCUUGGAAGCGAUACGGGGUCUUGUACUUAUAGAAAGAAAAGGGGCGAAGGUUUGGUAAGACGCGUCCCAUCGGAGUAAAAAGGGUAAUGAAUGAAAGGCCGCCACGAAGGACGGGUCAAGAUUGAAUUCGUACGUCAAACGAUCAAAAGACAUUAAUGUUUUUACAAGAACAGCUAGCACUUUUAUAGUUCAUCCAAGGAGGGCAUUUAUGGCCGCAAUCGCUCGUUGCCUAACUUGAUCGGCCAAGUCUAAAACUCGCUGGUCAUCAUCGGCCGAUCCUGGGACUUCUGGCAUAUGGCGAUGAAGUCUAAUUGCCUCGUGGGCCAGAUGCAGUCUCUCUUGCUUCAGAUCGGCGAUGACAGAAGGGAGGUCUUGGAAUCUCUUCUCUUCAACGGCUAUGUCUUUGGUCAUCUGCUCCAUCUCCUUGGCAAGCUCCGCUCUUCGGCGCUUGAGGCGAUCUAUAGUACCAACAAUAUCCGAGCAGGAAUUUUCAAGGAAAUGGAUCCGGU